rnacentral:rRNA from 1 species
CCUACGGGAGGCAGCAGUGGGGAAUAUUGCACAAUGGGGGAAACCCUGAUGCAGCGACGCCGCGUGAGCGAUGAAGUAUUUCGGUAUGUAAAGCUCUGUCAGCAGGGAAGAAAGUGACGGUACCUGACUAAGAAGCCCCGGCCAACUACGUGCCAGCAGCCGCGGUAAUACGUAGGGGGCAAGCGUUAGCCGGAUUUACUGGGUGUAAAGGGAGCGUAGACGGCUGUGCAAGCCAGAUGUGAAAGCCCGGGGCUCAACCCCGGGACUGAAUGUGGAACUGUGUGGCUGGAGUGUCGGAGAGGCAGGCGGAAUUCCUAGUGUAGCGGUGAAAUGCGUAGAUAGUAGGAGGAACACCAGUGGCGAAGGCGGCCUGCUGGACGAUGACUGACGUUGAGGCUCGAAAGCGUGGGGAGCAAACAGGAUUAGAUACCCUUGUAGUC